rnacentral:rRNA from 1 species
CAGUCGCCGCGGUAAUACAGAGGGUGCGAGCGUUAAUCGGAUUUACUGGGCGUAAAGCGUGCGUAGGCGGCUUCUUAAGUCGGAUGUGAAAUCACUGAGCUUAACUUAGGAAUUGCAUUCGAUACUGGGAAGCUAGAGUAUGGGAGAGGAUGGUAGAAUUCCAGGUGUAGCGGUGAAAUGCGUAGAGAUCUGGAGGAAUACCGAUGGCGAAGGCAGCCAUCUGGCCUAAUACUGACGCUGAGGUACGAAAGCAUGGGGAGCAAACAGGAUUAGAUACCCCAGUAGUCCCUGUCUCUUAUAC